UACGUAGGGGGCAAGCGUUAUCCGGAUUUACUGGGUGUAAAGGGGGCGCAGACGGCGAUGCAAGCCAGGAGUGAAAGCCCGGGGCCCAGCCCCGGGACUGCUCUUGGAACUGCGUGGCUGGAGUGCAGGAGGGGCAGGCGGAAUUCCUGGUGUAGCGGUGAAAUGCGUAGAUAUCAGGAGGAACACCGGUGGCGAAGGCGGCCUGCUGGACUGCAACUGACGUUGAGGCCCGAAAGCGUGGGUAUCGAACAGG
rnacentral:rRNA from 1 species